rnacentral:rRNA from 1 species
AGAAUCAACGCUGGCGGCGUGCCUAACACAUGCAAGUCGAACGAGAACGGGUAGCAAUACCUUAGUAAAGUGGCGCACGGGUGAGUAACACGUGACUAACCUACCCUGGAGUGGGGGAUAACCGAGAGAAAUCUUAGCUAAUACCGCAUAACACCUACGGGUCAAAGGAGCAAUUCGCUUCAGGAGGGGGUCGCGGCAGAUUAGAUAGUUGGCGGGGUAAUGGCCCACCAAGUCAGUGAUCUGUA